AUUAGAACAAAUGCAGUGACUACGGGACUACACUCCUAAAGCAUAUGGAUUCUGAAAGCUUUAAUUUGGUGGUUAUGUUUUGUUUUGUUUUGUUUUUGCAUACACAUGGAAGUUGCUCAACAGAGGGAAUUGCAAGCUCUGGAAAUCUCUGGAAUUGCUGUCAGGAAGCUGUGGCGUGAACUGAGGAUGGUGCUGAAGGAAGGAUCUGAAAGACCUUUGGCUGCUGGCAAAAGGGAGGAAAGCCAACAAAUUAGCCUGCUGGUAUUUGCAUGAAACUUGCUCUGAUGGAGGUUCCAAUGCAGCUGCUCUGUCCAGUCUCCCACCCUGGAGCAAAACAAAGCUUUGCUGCUGCUCUUAGACUAGAAGCCAAGGGAUGCUCCACGUUUCCCUGGUCCUCUUUCUUCAUGAGCACCCACCCUAUGCACCUUGCUGUAAUGCAUUAAACCACAGUGCUCCUCACAGUGAUGGCCUGCUUGGAAGAAAACUGGGGUCUCCAUAAACCAGUGAGUCUUCACCAUGAACUUGUUAUCUCCAUGCUCAUUCCCACAGGAUUUUUUUUUCUUUUUCCUAAAGUAAAGACUUCCCAUUCAGCCUUACAAUCCAAACUUCUUCCCAGCCAUGUUUGUGCAGCUCUGCGCCUCUGCCACGUGGACCAGCUUCAUGAACAUGUUUCCUAAUUAAACCUGAAUGGUACAUAAGGAAAUGUCUUCUACAACUAAUUAUUUCAUGCACAAUCUGAAAACUAGUCAAGAUCGUGUUUACGGUGUUAUUAGAUGUGUGUUCCUUUUCCAGCAUAGCUGAGAAAGGAAGCAUUUGUCUGAACUAAAGUCAGAUAGGGCUGUCCGCAGCCAUCAGACACAGACCAUGGCUUUGUCUCUGGCGUCAAAGGAGAUUUAAGGCAAUUCUCUGCCUUUGACGCUGCCUGGCAACAUUGGGAAGGCUUUUUUUUCCUAAUCUGUGAAACAGUAAGAAGCCAUUAAAUGGUGCAGAGAAGGAAGGAGGGCACAGACAUGACGUCUGUCUGUGCUGGCAGGGAGACUCUGCCUUGACGCUGGGAGGGAGACCACCGAGAUGCGUCCUUGCCACAGGGGAGGCACAGCCAAAGGUUCAACCCACGUGUUUGUACCGAGCAGUGCUUUUGACAUUUGCUUCCCACAAGAUUUUCCUUCUCAUUAGUGCUUGGUUCAUCAUUUUGUGUUACUAACAUGCAUCUUCAAUAUGAAACUAGAAAAAAUCAAAAAAUUAAAAUCUUCUGCAGAUCUAUUUAAUGAGACACGAGCACAAAUGGCAUUA